UACAAUGCUUGUAUGAUAAAAGGAAUUUUGGAAAAGAUCUUCUUGCUGACUGGAGGAGAAGAAUCAAGGGAGAGGGCUUUCUGUUUUUCCGAGACAAAGCUAUUCGUAACGGUCUCUCUCUCUGCCUUUCUCUAAUAUUUUCUUCCUAGUUUCAAGCUGGAGAGAUUUUAUGAAGGGUGGAAAGAAGGGUGGUCAGAUUACGUAGAAUGCGUGAAGUGAAUCAAGAAGUUGUCCAAAAACAAGGCUUUUGUUAAAUAAGAUUACGUAGAAUGUGUAUUUUGUUAAAUAAGAUUUCAUUUUGUGUAUGCAAAUGUAAAAGACAAAUAUUAAAGUUUCUAAAUAAUAUUAAUUUUAUUGA